CCCAUCACAAAGGGGAGCCUUGGCUGAGAUUGAGUACCUACUCUAAACCCUUCGAACCUGUUCGUUAAUACGAGCGUAGGAAUUGUGAUGGAGUAAAUA
rfam:Enterococcus termitis strain LMG 8895 4, whole genome shotgun sequence.